rnacentral:rRNA from 1 species
UACGGGGGGAGCAAGCGUUGUUCGGAUUUACUGGGCGUAAGGGCGCGUAGGCGGUCAGCACAAGUCAGUUGUGAAAUCUCCGGGCUUAACUCGGAAAGGUCAACUGAUACUGUGCGACUAGAGUGCGGAAGGGGCAACUGGAAUUCCCGGUGUAGCGGUGAAAUGCGCAGAUAUCGGGAGGAACACCAAUUGCGAAGGCAGCUCGCUGGGACGUCACUGACGCUGAGACGCGAAAGCGUGGGGAGCAAACAGG